rnacentral:rRNA from 1 species
UACGAGGGGGGCUAGCGUUGCUCGGAAUCACUGGGCGUAAAGCGCACGUAGGCGGCUUCUUAAGUCAGGGGUGAAAUCCUGGAGCUCAACUCCAGAACUGCCUUUGAUACUGAGGAGCUUGAGUCCGGGAGAGGUGAGUGGAACUGCGAGUGUAGAGGUGAAAUUCGUAGAUAUUCGCAAGAACACCAGUGGCGAAGGCGGCUCACUGGCCCGGUACUGACGCUGAGGUGCGAAAGCGUGGGGAGCAAACAGG